rnacentral:lncRNA from 1 species
UUCCCUCCAACCUUUUAUUUAUUCUCUCCCUCUCCCAUUUCCUCCUUGUUACCUAGAACAGAACCCCAAUCAAACCAUUUCCCAACUGAAGAUUAUCCUAAUCAUCGGCAGCGCCAACACCGGCCACCGUCACCAGGUAAUCAGACUCAUCUCUCUCUCUAUAUAUAUAAAUAUCCUAUUUAUUCUCCAUCUGCUUCAACUUUUCUUCGUUGUUGAUGACUCUCUUUCUAUCUCUAGAAUAUGAACCUCUUAACUCUCAACCUUGUCUCUCGUCAGUAUUCGCCGUUGCCAGCAUCGCUACAUACUCAAGACUUAGGUUUGCUUUUUUCUGUUUUUUUGUCUAUUUUAGUUUUUAGCAUCUUUUCAUUGAUUUCUACUUUUAGUAAAUAUUCUAUGCGUCUAGCGAUUUGCGUAAAAUUUUGUUCAGUUUCUUUGGUAAUUCCUAUAAUACAAUAACCACUCCAGUAAGCACAUAGGUGUAUGUUAUGUCGUUAAGAUGGAUUAUUUUGCAUCUCCCCGUGCCUUUGAUUAAUUUAGUGGAGUGAGGGUUAGAAUAUUGUGCUAUUUUUCUAGAAAGAAGAUCUACAACUACAUCUCCGUCCCAAACAAGUAAAAAUUAAAAUCCUAUUUGUGUAAUAAGUGAGAGACUACUGGUUAUUGCUCAUUCGGCAGCAAUUGUUAUUUUGUGGCAGUUACAAAUUUAAGUUUUAACUGAUUUAUGAUUUAGGGAGAUACGAUGUCAAUGUGUACUAUGAGAAUGGUGAAGAUUGAUGAUAUGAUUGAUUUUGGCUUGUUGAAAUAUUGAUUCAUAGUCAUUUUGAUCGAUCAGUUGCAAGUGGGCUAUAUACGUUGAAAUACCAUGGCAACAUGUGUGGAUUCACAUUACGGUAAUCUAGUUUUACUUCACUUGUGAUAGUGCACGCUAAAUUACCUUCUUGUUUGAUUUGUAGGACCAUAUUGCUUUAGAAAAAUAUUUACCAGUCUUCCGUAGCAGUUUCUUGGCUAGUUUUCCAUGAGCGAUACACAAAAGGGGUUGACCAAAUACUUAGAUAUAUGAGCUUUUGAUUUUGUAAUGCAAUCUUCUAUUUUUCGUUCCUUUGAUACUUCGCUUUCAAUAAACAAGAUAAACGAUAUGAGAAGGAGAGAACCUAUCAUUGUGUCUGGUUUUUCCAAAGAAUACGAGGCAAAGGAGAGAGAUUCAGUGCACGCGUUUAGCUAUUUCAUCCCUAACAAUUGUUAAUUGUGGUGCGUGCUCUGCGAUUAUUGUAAUGAUAUUGUCUAUGCUAUUAUGUCCUACUUGACUUGCGACCAGCUUAUAUGGUCUUUGUAGAUCAAGGGAGAUAGUUGAUUUCAGAUUAUCAUAGGCCCUAACAUGGGUGGGAAGUCAACCUGCAUAUGUCAGGUGUGAGUUUUCUAAAAAUUUGUCCUUUUUUAUAUUUGUUGUUGUUGUUGUCUCUUUGGCUUUUUACAUUUAUCUCAGCAGGUCUCCAUUCAAAUGUUGUUUUUGAAUAUUUGUACUUGAUGGAAUUAAUUGAUUAAAGCUAACAGAGAAGUUGUAAUAGCAUUAGCAUGAUGAAGAAUCAUAGGGUAACACAACUGUUAGAAAAAAAGAAUCAAAGCGUAAAACAUAGUCUUCAACUGUUUCUAAUGCCUUCUGCUUUAUUUGAGUUUGAAUGAUGAUUAUAUCAACAUGUUCUUUCCAAGAGAUAUAAAUCAGAUAUUUCAUAUUUCUAUUCCUUUACUUGUGGAGUGCAUGAAUAAAUUUGGCGCUAUACUAAUUCAACUUAAUAACACCAUUAACUGGGGCAAUGCCAUUGAGAGACAAAUGUUCAUUGGUUGUGCCACAGUUCAGAUUUUAAAACAUGAGUGUAACUCUAAAAAUAUGUUGCAACCUGCUUGAAAAGGUUGUGGAAGUUUAGGUGAAAAUUAAAGUUAGACAUUUUCCAACAAAAUGGAAUUUGCUGUUUGAAUGAAUGCAAUUGUUUGGGAGUUGUUUUUUAUUGGAACUAUGAGUUCGCUAUUUUUGUCGUUUUACAAAUAUAAAACCUUGGUGAUGAAGUAAAAUCUGUUAUGCUUUGAUAUUAGCAACGGAAAGCAUUCGCUAAUAUUAGCAUCAUAACCUUAGAAAAGAAUUUAUGUGGUUGAUUUGUACUUGAAGAUCAUUUAAGAUAUCUACAAAAUGAGGAGGAUCUUUACACUGAUCUUCUAGGAGAAUGGAGAUAUAUGUCUAACUAUAUCUAAUACCAUAACUAGGAUGAGUAUUAGUGUGUAGUUUAUGACUUCAACUCAUAUUUUUCACACUUUAAUCUAUCUGUUCAACAUGUGAACAUUUAUUAGGCCCAUGAUGCCAACAGUGGCCAUGAACGAGUACCCAAGCAUCAUGAUGUUGUUUAAGUGGUAAUAUUGCUGAAAUUACGCUAUCUUCUCACGAUUUUGUGCUUGUUUUAGAAUACAUUAACAUAUUACUUAUUUUUUGAAUUAUGCUCAAUAUGUUGCGGAUGGCGUUGUGCAUCAGUUUAUUUGUUUAUCGAGUCACCAAUUGUCACGAUCCAACACUCUAACCUGUCGUGAUGGCGCCUAUCGAUGGUACUAGGCAAGCCGACCUUUCAAAAUACUUCAACAUUUCAUAAAAAGGAUAAUUCAAAGCUUUUUCAUACUAGAAAGUUUUACAAAAAAAAAAACCGGAGUUGAAUUCAAAAUAAAAUGCGAAAAGAUAGCCCCAAACAUCGGGGUGUCACCAAGUCAUGAGCAUCUAGAUAUCCAGUCUAAUAAAAACAGUGUCUCAAGUAUCAAUAUAGGAAAGAAAGAAAACAUAGAAGGAGAGACAAGAUCUGCGGACGCCGACAGCUACAUCGUAGUCUCCGGUACUCAAUCGCGCACGAACUCAACGACCUCCGUGAUCAAACAAACCUGGAUCUGCACAUGAAGUGCAUGGUGUAGCAUGAGUAAAACCAACUCAGCACGUAACAUAAAUAAAUAAGGAACUGAGAAGGUAGUGACGAACUAUACAAAUACAAUUCAUUUUCAAUAAUUCCAGCAAAGAAUAGACAUGCUUUCGAAUCCGGCAGUUCAAAUCAAAUUAGUUUUAUACAGUUACAGUGCAGGUAAAUCCGGAUAUAGAAUCUUUCAGAAAUUUCAUGACAAUGACAGAUAGCAACUAAGUGCAUCAACAAAUGAAAAAGCAAGUACAGCCUCUCAGGGAAACAGUCACUCAACUCGUCACAAUAGCUCAAUCACUCGGCUCUCAGCCCUCAGUACUCACACUCAAUAGGUACCUGCGCUCACUGGAGUUUGCAGAUUCCGGAGGGGCUCCUUUCAGCCCAAGCGUUAUAUCCGCACGGACAACUCACAUGCUGCACGGACAACUCAUGUGCUAUAGUAUCAAUAUGUGAAACCGCACGGACAACUCACGUGCCACAAUAUCAAUAUAUGGAACCACACGGAGAACUCACGUGUUGCACGGACAACUCACGUGCCAUAGUAUCAAUAACUCACAGACAGGCCCUCGGCCUCACUCAGUCAUCAACCUCUCUAAUCUCUCGGGCUCUCGAAAAUCAGAAAGAUCGGCCUAAACAAAGAUUACACAGUGUAUCAAUAAGAAUCAAGAAGAGGCUGAGAUAUGAUACGCAAGUAAAACCAUGACUGAGUACAAGACAACAAUCAACAAGUAAUUCAACAAGUACGCGACCUCUGCGGGUCCCAACAGUACCAUCACAUAGCCUAAGCAUGAUUUCUAAUAUGAUUUGUAGCCAAAUUUCUAUAACACAGGGAGAGCAUAUAGCUAGCAACAAGUUAUUCAACUUUACAGUUUCACGGAAUGGACUAAGUCCCAAUUCCUACGGUGCACGCCCACACGCCCGUUACCUAACAUGUGUGUCACCUCCAAAAUACUCAUAUAAUCCAAUAAUCCGGGAUUUCAUACCCUCAAGACUAGAUUUAAAACUGUUACUUACCUCAAACCUCGCAAAAUCCUACUCCGCAAUGACUUUGCCCCUCGAAUCAAUCUCCAAACGCUCAGAAUCUAGCCACAAGCAGUACGAUAUAAUUAAUAUAGGCUAAAAGAAUUAAUUCCAUAAGAAAAACAUGAAAUUAUAAGCCAAAAUACGAAAUCGGCUCCAACCCGACCCUCGGGCCCACGUCUCGAAAUCCGAUAAAAGCCACAAAACCCGAAAGCCCAUUCAUUCACGAGUCUAACCAUAUUAAAUUCAUCAAAAUCCGACAUCAUUUGGUCCUCCAAAUCCCUAAAAUUCAUUCUCUAAUUUUCAAGCCCUAAACCCCCAAAUUUCACUUCAAAAUCUCGCUAAUUAGGUGGGGAAAUCAGUAGGGAAUCAAGAUUUAUGAUAAAAAAUGAGUACAAGAAGCGUACCUCAAUAAUCCCCUCGAAAAUCUUCUCACAAAUCGCCUAAGUCCAAGUCUAAAAUGGUAAAAUAAGACUAAAAUCGCGAACCCUUACUUUUUAAACCUUCUGCCCAGACUUUUCGCAUAUGCAGACCCAUUGUCGCAUUUGCGACGCCGCACCUGCGGAAAAUCCAUCGCAGGUGUGGAUUUCACUUAAAAUCCCAGAUUCCGCUCCUGCGGCUUCAAGACCGCAUCUGCGCCUAUCGCAGGUGCGGAAACCUAUCGCAUCUGCGGCUAAAACUCGCACCUGCGCACAGCUGCCCGCUUUUGCGACUAUCGCAGGUGCGGAAAAAUCUUCGCACAUACAGCUUCUGCUCAACUCCUCCUUGGCCGCUUAUACGGUCGCAUCGUCGCUUCUGUGAGCUUGCACCUGCUGUUCUCACUCCGCAGGUGCGAUUACACCAGCAACAACAGCACUUCAGCUGUCCCUUUCAAAUCCAAACCAAGUCCGAAACCUCAGAUUUUGCACACAAGUCAUAUUCAACAUUACGGACCUAUUCUAACUUUCGGAAUCGGAAUCCGACCCCGAUAUCAAAAAGUCAUCCCCCGGUCAAACUUUUCAAAAAUUCGACUUUCGCCAUUUCAAGCCUAAAUUAGCUGCAGACCUCAAAUUCACAGUCCGGACAUGCUCCGAAAUCCAAAAUCACCCAACGGAGCUAAUGGAACCGACAGAACUCUAUUCCGGAGUCGUCUUCACACACUUCUGACUACGGUAAAAAUCCUGAGACUUAAGCUUUCGUUUUAGGGACUAAGUGUCCCAAAAUACUCCGAAACCAAAAACAAGACCUCCCGGCAAGUCACAUAAGCAAAAACAGAUACGGGAAAAAUAAUAAAUAGAAAAUCGGGAUUAAUACACUCAAAAUGACCGGCCGAAUCGUCACAGUAGUCCAAUUUAAAUUUGUGAUCUAACAGCUUUGCACCAGUUGCAUAUGAUGGUGACAAACAACUUUUCAAUUAUUUGAUUUGUUCCUACGUGUAGAUAACUUAUGUAUGUGUGUUACCGAUAUCUAUUUUCUCUUCUUGGAUGUUGAUGGAGCUUUUAACUAAUAUUAUUUUAGAGAUAUCUGAUGUUGGGAUGUGCUUUCUAGAUAGAAUAGUAGUUAUAAACAGGUUGAAAAUUUAUUGAUUCUGCCGAAAAUUUUAAGAAUUUGAAGAGUUAGUAAAAUUUUGAGUCUGACAAAUUUCAAAGUUAUUAGAUGCAGAAGUAUAAUUUUUGCGCUAAGUUUCAUCUUUUAACAUUCACUCAUUUUAUUAUUUCAGGUCAUACCUUAUGAUGUUUGAAAUUUUAGCAUAUGAAGAUUUCAAUAUGAUGAAAAGUUGCAAGAAUUAUUUGAGGGUUGUGCAUCUAGAAAUUUGUUGUUGCUAAUAUUCAAUAGGAGUAGUUACGAUGCCAUUAGCCAUUUAGUUUAAACAUGUAGUUUCAUCAUUUAGCUCGUUGAUACAUUUGUAUAUGAAUUAGUGCCUACUUUUGUUAGAUUUAAUGAAAUAUAU